rnacentral:rRNA from 1 species
UACGAAGGGGGCUAGCGUUGUUCGGAAUUACUGGGCGUAAAGCGUGCGCAGGCGGCUUCUCAAGUCAGGGGUGAAAGCCCAGAGCUCAACUCUGGAAUUGCCUUUGAGACUGAGUGGCUUGAGUACGAGAGAGGUGAGUGGAAUUCCCAGUGUAGAGGUGAAAUUCGUAGAUAUUGGGAAGAACACCGGUGGCGAAGGCGGCUCACUGGCUCGUAACUGACGCUCAUGCACGACAGCGUGGGGAUCAAGCAGG